rnacentral:rRNA from 1 species
GCAUAUCAAUAAGCGGAGGAAAAGAAACCAACCGGGAUUGCCUUAGUAACGGCGAGUGAAGCGGCAAAAGCUCAAAUUUGAAAUCUGGUACCUUCGGUGCCCGAGUUGUAAUUUGUAGAGGGCGACUUUGGGGCGGCUCCUUGUCUAUGUUCCUUGGAACAGGACGUCAUAGAGGGUGAGAAUCCCGUGUGGCGAGGAGUGCGGUUCCGUGUAAAGCGCUCUCGAAGAGUCGAGUUGUUUGGGAAUGCAGCUCUAAGUGGGUGGUAAAUUCCAUCUAAAGCUAAAUAUUGGCGAGAGACCGAUAGCGAACAAGUACAGUGAUGGAAAGAUGAAAAGAACUUUGAAAAGAGAGUGAAAAAGUACGUGAAAUUGUUGAAAGGGAAGGGCAUUUGAUCAGACAUGGUGUUUUGCGCCCCUCGCUCCUUGUGGGUGGGGGACUCUCGCAGCUCACUGGGCCAGCAUCAGUUUUGGCGGCCGGACAAAACCGUAGGAACGUAACUUGCUUCGGGAAGUAUUAUAGCCUGCGGGAAUACGGCCAGCCGGGACUGAGGAAUGCGAUUCGUCAAGGAUGCUGGCAUAAUGGUUAUAUGCCGCCCGUCUUGAAACACGGACCAAGGAGUCUAACGUCUAUGCGAGUGUUUGGGUGUUAAACCCAU